GAGAGUAGAUGGAGAUCUAAAGAGGAUCACAGGAGUCCUGCUCAGAAACUUCUGUAGGAGGCCAGAUGAACCCAUGUUAUAACAGGAUUCUGUGACAUUUGAGGAUAUUGCCGUGAACUUCACCCAGGAAGAGUGGGGUUUGCUAGAUCCUUCUCAGAAGAAUCUGUACAGAGAUGUGAUGCUGGAAACCUGGAGGAACUUCACUUUUAUAGAAGUUUCAUGGUUGAGACAUUCUGUGAGCAUGAAGAAGAUCUUCUGGAUGGAGAACCUUUCACAUGGGUCGCAAACACCAGUAUGAGCAUGACAUGUUCUACCAACGUAACCCCAUGUGAAAGCAAUGUGUGUGGGAAGGUUUCCAUGUGUCAUUCACUCUUCCAUAACCAUCCUACGUCUCACUCUCAGUACAAACCAUGUGAGCAUGAGGAGUAUGGAAACAAGCCCCAGAACUUUGACUCUCUCACAAGCUGUCAAAGACAUAUGAGAACUCACACUGUGUAUGGACCUUUUGAAAAUAAGACAUGUUUAAAUUAUUUUGAUUUCCAAAGUUUUUUGGUAGUACAUCAGGAAA